AAUUAAUCCAGACUUUGCUGUGAUAUGAACCGGCUUAUCAAUACUUUUACAAUGACAUGCGGCAUUUUCUUUUUGAUGUUUUCGGUGUCGGAUAAUGGCGUUAGAGAUUAAAGAAAGAAGAAUUCUCAAGUUCAAAAAUAAAUAUUAUGUUUCCCCUUAAAAUGGUUGGCUACAUCUGCAAAGCCAAACAGUUUCACCAACCUACUGUCAGAAUUUGAUAACAAACAAAUGUCAUCUGACAGCUGACUUUGGACAAGUAUAAAUACAACAUGAAUACUCAAAGAAGCCGUGUAAUUAAUUUAUACAAAACUUUGCACUAUUUAGGUAAUAAUUGGCCAAGUGGUGCUGAAAAAUUCCACAGUCGCUUGAAGGCUGUGUUUUUUGAAAUAAGGAUGAAAAAGA